GUGUAGUUUUAGCUCAGUGGUAGAGUGCUUGCCUAGCAUGUGAGAGGCACUGGGUUUGAUCCUCAGCACCACAUA
rnacentral:tRNA from 1 species